AUGCAUGACAUGAAGCUUGUCCGUAUGGGGGACACGAGUGUUGAAGCAUAUAAGCAUCUAAUUUCUAUGAUCAAGAAUUGUGCUGCUGAAAUGACACCAUUUGCUGAAAUAAGAGACAGUCUUGGAUUAGAGGACAUGAUGGCAGAGAAUGGAGAUGUUGUUAACCAGGUCCAGACACAAGUUGGUAUUCAGUUUGCACCAAACAGAGUGGAUAGUGUUGUUGGCAACAAUGAAACAACUCGGCUAACGAGUCUGGUAAUAGGCUGUCUGGAUUAUUACCUCUGGCUAAGAGGAAAGACAUGGGAAGGCCUAGACAAGCAGAGAGAAGGCGCUUUAUGA
rnacentral:rRNA from 1 species